AGAGUUUGAUCCUGGCUCAGGAUGAACGCUAGCGGGAGGCUUAACACAUGCAAGUCGAGGGGUAACGAUAUCUUCGGAUAGUCGACGACCGGCGCACGGGUGAGUAACAGGUAUGCAACCUACCCUUAACAGGAGGAUAGCCCGAAGAAAUUCGGAUUAAUACUCCAUAACAUUUGUUUAUCGCAUGAUAAACUUUUUAAAGCUCCGGCGGUUAAGGAUGGGCAUGCUUAAUAUUAGCUAGUUGGUAAGGUAACGGCUUACCAAGGCUACGAUAUUUAGGGGUUCUGAGAGGACGAUCCCCCACACUGGUACUGAGACACGGACCAGACUCCUACGGGAGGCAGCAGUGAGGAAUAUUGGUCAAUGGGCGCAAGCCUGAACCAGCCAUCCCGCGUGUUGGAUGACGGCCUUAUGGGUUGUAAACUACUUUUAUAUAGGAAGAAACUUUUCUACGUGUAGAAAACUGACUGUACUAUACGAAUAAGCAUCGGCUAACUCCGUGCCAGCAGCCGCGGUAAUACGGAGGAUGCAAGCGUUAUCCGGAUUUAUUGGGUUUAAAGGGUGUGUAGGCGGAUUAAUAAGUCAGUGGUGAAAUCCUACAGCUUAACUGUAGAACUGCCAUUGAUACUGUUAACCUUGAGUAUAGUUGAGGUAGGCGGAAUGUGUUGUGUAGCGGUGAAAUGCUUAGAUAUAACACAGAACACCGAUUGCGAAGGCAGCUUACUAAACUAUUACUGACGCUGAGGCACGAAAGCGUGGGGAGCGAACAGGAUUAGAUACCCUGGUAGUCCACGCCGUAAACUAUGAUUACUCGUUGUGCGCAAUACACCGUGCGCGACUAAGCGAAAGCAUUAAGUAAUCCACCUGGGGAGUACGAUCGCAAGAUUGAAACUCAAAGGAAUUGACGGGGGCCCGCACAAGCGGAGGAACAUGUGGUUUAAUUCGAUGAUACGCGAGGAACCUUACCUGGGCUUAAAUGUAGAACGACAGAUCGGGAAACUGAUCUUUCUUCGGACGGACUACAAGGUGCUGCAUGGUUGUCGUCAGCUCGUGCCGUGAGGUGUCGGGUUAAGUCCCAUAACGAGCGCAACCCCUAUCGUUAGUUGCUAGCAGGUAAUGCUGAGGACUCUAGCGAAACUGCCACCGUAAGGUGUGAGGAAGGUGGGGAUGACGUCAAAUCAGCACGGCCCUUAUGUCCAGGGCUACACACGUGUUACAAUGGUCGGUACAAAGGGCAGCUACCUGGUGACAGGAUGCUAAUCUCCAAAACCGAUCCUAGUUCGGAUCGCAGUCUGCAACUCGACUGCGUGAAGUUGGAUUCGCUAGUAAUCGCGCAUCAGCCACGGCGCGGUGAAUACGUUCCCGGGCCUUGUACACACCGCCCGUCAAGCCAUGGAAGUUGGGGGUACCUAAAGUCCGUAACCGUAAGGAGCGGCCUAGGGUAAGACCGAUAACUAGGGCUAAGUCGUAACAAGGU
rnacentral:rRNA from 1 species